GAUAAGGUAACUUUAUGAGUUAGAUUAUAGUCAUGAAUUUUAUUUAUAAAAAAUUAAUUUUAUUAAUAGGAACAAAAAGUGAAGAGUUACAGUUAAAGGAAAAUUCAAUUUGGAGGGGUAAACCAAAUUUUUACCAAACCACCAUGCAUUCCAAUCACCAAGGAGACAAUAAUUUACCCACUGAGUUUAAUUUUUCACAUGUUCUAUUAGGCGUGAAGGAAAAGAAAAGUGGUCCAAAUAUUUCAAUAUGUCUCUGUUGAAGAAUACACGAGUUUCACAUUGGAAACUUAACAAAAUAGAAAGUCCCAUAUAAUAAAUGGUUCCACUCCUAAUAACAUCAAUGCCUUUUGUAUAAAACCUCACACCUGCUAAAUAGGUGGUUAAGUUGGGGACAAUAUCGAUGUUACUAGUGGUGGGCCAAGGGUCUAUCCCUCUGAAAUUUUAACAUGGUAUCAGAGCGGGUCGGUUGACUGGGCCCAAUUAAACCCAAUCAAACAAACUCAAAUCAAACAAAAAUCCUAAAUUGAAUCAAAAUCAAACAAACCCCAAAUUAAAAAAAAAAGAAAAAAAAAGAAAAAAAAGACCGGUGUGGAAUUGGUUGCACGUGUGGCCCACUAAAAAGUGGUCAUACGUGAGGAGGAGUGUUGAAGAAUACACGAGUCCCACAUCGGAAACUUAACAAAAUAGAAAGUCCCAUAUAAUAAAUGGUUCAACUCCUAAUAACAUCGAGUCAUUUUGUAUAAACCCCCACACCUGCUAAACAGGUGGUUAAGUUAGGAAUAAUAUCGAUGUUACUAGUGGUGAGCCAAAUGUCCGUCCCUCUAAAAUCUUAACAGUCUCUGCAAUGAUAACGGCCCUAUAAAUCACAUGCCAAUUGCAAAUUUGUUUCCACACACACGCACACAACACAUAUAUAUUAGAUUGUACUUGUAUACGUAAAUUUACUGCUGUGGCAGUGGCAGUUUAUGCAACAGAUGCAGUUUCAUAGAACCAGCCCUCCCUCUCCCUGCACUUUCAUGAUUGUUCCGUCAUCGUAUAUGUUUGUCUCAUAAUAAAGUAUAUACUCAUAUUUAUAUAAUUCUAAGGAGCUCAUGAUUCAUGCAUGGAAAAUAAGCAGUUUAUGCAGAAAGAUGACGACAAAGGUACUUUUGAAAAACUAUGAAAAAAAUAGACUAUAUAUAUGCUUGGUUUGCAUUAUUUUGUACUCUGUCUAGGCUCGGUUGAGUUGCCGUUUUGCCUUUAAAUUAAAAUGCAGAUAUUCAAGUUCACAAUCGACCUCCAUCUCCAUCACUGUUUUUGUGUUCAUGCAUGUAAGAAUCCUUUGAUAUCGAUGCUUGCAAAUAAUUCUUUUAGAUUGUGACCUUCCUCCCCUAACUCUCUCGUAAGGAGAGGUUGCUUCCAGGAAACUCGUACCUCCCAAAGAGAUGGCCAAAGAGGUCCCACCACAACAAGUUUAAAUCUUAAUAGGAUUAAAUGAUGUAAUUUGGUGGUUGGGGGUGGGGUGGGUUGAUGGGUUUGAAAGAAGAAAACAAGGAAAGGUGAUUGAGAAAAAUUUGUGUAAAUUUGGGUCCCCUGGCAUGAUGGUAUAUUAAUUGUUAUUGUUUUUUCCCCUGGUUGCAUGCUGUGGGUUUUGCAGAAAGCUUUGUGCCUGCUUUUUUAUGUACGACGUGAAUAAUAUACAAGCUUCCAAAUCAGCGUUUAUGCAAGCUGCGAUUCAUCCACAAAAACUCAAAUUCUU
rnacentral:lncRNA from 1 species